rnacentral:lncRNA from 1 species
AUGUUGGAAGAUGGUGAGAGUACUUUUUGUUCAGCUUUCUGCCGAGCCGUCCCAGCGCAGCGGUUCCCUCCUCUGAGGUUACAGCCUCCCCAAGGGUUGGAACUGCCCUCCCUCUGCAGCCUGAGAACCCAAAAUGUUGGCUGAGGACCUCCUUCCUUCUCCUCACCUCGCAGGCAAACUCAAGCUCUAAGCCAUUACAAUGGGUCCUGAACGUGUGCUCGUGGAUUAAAGGCUUGAGGGACCCUGGAAGAUGCUGAUCCCUGGCAGAGGAUAUGGACUCCAUCCCUACUGAAAUCAGCCCCAGCAGUAAUUGUGUGGUGUGAUGUGAAUUGUUUUUCCUGCACUUGUCUGCUGACUGUGUUUAAAGUCCCCUGAGAACAAACAGAUCAGAGAUUUUACAGCUGCACAGAGCUUGUGCCUGAACAUUAAUGGCUACGUUGGCAAGCAGAUGGGAGCUGGUCUUUCUUACUCUUUCCCAAAGAUGUACCAUCUUUUCUUUUGACAUUUUGAUAGAUCAGCAGAUUCUCACUCUGUGUUAUAUUCCAGGCAUGCAGCUGAGAGACGAUUAAUGCCUAUGACAGUGAAAACACUGCACCUUUAUUCCUUAUAAAAGUCUUUACUGUGUCACAUCUUGUAGGAUAACAUCCAGAACAGGGAAACGGUGGCUCCAUUCAAGUCUAUUGCAGAACUCACAGGGAUAAAAGUCUCUCAUUCAUAAAGCUGUAAGCACACCUUACUAUUUUUUAAACUUUAAUAAAUGAAAUGCUCUCAGGACGAGCCA